AGGGUUUGAUUCUGGCUCAGGAUGAACGCUGGCGGCGUGCUUAACACAUGCAAGUCGAACGAGAAUCUGAUGACGGAGGCUUCGGCCAACUGAGUCAGAGGAAAGUGGCGGACGGGUGAGUAACGCGUGAGGAACCUGCCUUGGAGUGGGGAAUAACAGUUGGAAACAGCUGCUAAUACCGCAUAAUGCAUUUAGACCGCAUGAUCUGAAUGCCAAAGAUUUAUCGCUCUGAGAUGGCCUCGCGUCUGAUUAGCUUGUUGGCGGGGUAACGGCCCACCAAGGCGACGAUCAGUAGCCGGACUGAGAGGUUGGCCGGCCACAUUGGGACUGAGACACGGCCCAG
rnacentral:rRNA from 1 species